CAUCUUUCAUUUUUGUCCCCUGAAGUGUUCUAGGUGCUUUCUGAAAAAUCUCCUGACCAGCAAGUCUCCCACUGGUCAACCAGAUCUGCUCACCUGUGAAUCAGAACUAAGAGUGUCAACGACAUGAUUUGCUGAAGAAUAAUACCCAGGAUUCAAACAAUAUGCAAAAGCAAGGAGCAGGGUGUUGGCCCAGAAGUUCCCCCUGACAUAGAGGACUACCAAUCUGGAGGGUCUUGAAGCCAGCCAAACUAGAGGUGUUCUUCAUGUCCUGUUGUGCUGCCUGUGCCCUGGACUACUUGCUGCCUGACCCUACCUGCACUUAGGUUGAAAGUGAGGUGGCUCAGAAGCAACAACACAGACUCUGCAAGCAGGUGAGAAAUGCUGCAGCAAGCUCAUCUGAAUGCUGCAGCAAGCUCCAUUAAUACACUUACACAGUGUUCCACUGGUCCCAAGAAAGCAUCUCUUCUAAACUGCAAUUCCAGGUGGACUGAUAUUGUCUGGGCCAGCAAUCCUUGGUCUCUCAGGCAGUCCUCAAUUAGGUCCUUCUAUAGGAGAUUCUUUACAGCUGCACGCCCCCUGGCCUUUAUAUACAGUUGGCCCUCCAGUUCCUGCUACAUUGGAAAUCCUUUUGUUUUUUGAUUUUGGCAAUCUAGUUCCAGCCAGGGUGCUGCCAUUGCCUCAAGAUUGUUGACCCCACCCUGGAUGAUCCCCACUAUACUGGACUGUGCUGUCAGUUGUCCUGUCUUCCAGGAUCUUACCUGUCAUUGACUACCAGUCCUCAAAGAGAUAUCACUCUGGAAGCAUGUCAUACAAGAGGAUUAGGAACAGCUUACAUGGUGGUCUCAUGGAUCUCUGCCAUCCAAGCUUUGAUCACUUCCUUGGGAGGGGGUAUAAUAAGGACUUUUGAGAGCCAUCAGCACCUGGAAGGUCAUCCCAUUUAUGAAGUGCUGCCUAGAGUUAUGUUGUGCAAGACACUUCAAGAAAAUAAUUAUUAGGGUGACAAUUCCUCCCAUCAUAUCUUAAGAGGUUUCCCGGUUAUAAGGAGCAAAAUAGCCUCUUAAUAUUGCUCCACACUUUCCCCAAGAAUACCACAACUAGGGAAAGCACAGAUACCCUAGUUGCAUUGAGGUUGACUAUAUGCUCCCUUAAGGGUACAGAAUCAUUAAGGGAUUUGUCUGGCCAGGUACCUUCAAGAUAUUGAGCCAACUGUUGUUGGGCUUAAGUGGUGUAACGUACCUGGUAAUGACCUAGGCAAAUUAAGUGAAAUGGUUCCCAUGCCAAUAGAGACAUGUUCCUAACAAGGUCCAACUCUUCUGCCAGUAAGUCAAUCUGUUGUUGUAAAUUGUGGAUGGAUUAAUAAAGAUGUUGAUUUAGUACCUCCUGCACCUGUGGUGCCUCAGCUGACUUAGAGACUACAACAGCAUUGACAGUCUCCACCAUAGUGGCUGUCUGCGUCAAGGCAACAGGAGCUGUUGUCACCCUGGCAAUGCUUGUAAUGAUGGCCACAAUGAUGACAGCUGUAAUACCAAAAUCCCUUUCCCUGUGUAGGGGUUAUAAGUGAGUCUGGGUCAUCAGAGUGCCAGCAUGAAAGAUGGUGGUAUUUACCACACUUAUCCAAAUGGUAACUGGUUCCUUCAUCAGGUUCCCUCAUCCUCCAUGGGCCAGAUGCCUUCUAAUCCUCAUGUAGUAGUGACUAAGUCCAUGAAUGGCAACCCAAACUCACAUUGAAAGAGGAGAGAACAGGGUAGUAUGGGGAGUUAACUGCCACUGGCAUAAGAAUGGAGGGCAGGGCCACCAAAGCCCAGAGUUCAUAGGCUUUCCCAGGCUGAAAAAAAUUAAUAAACAGUAUGUACAUUUCGGCUCCACAUCCUGCUCUUUUUCUGGGUCCUUUAUUGGCCUCUGGUCUAUGGCUGGUAAGAAUGUCAAAAAUAACAUUUAGGUUGAGAGUUCCACAUUUUUAUCUGAAGGUUGCUAGCAGAAUACUUGAUUCCAGGCAGCUUGAAUGAGGGUCUUAAAGCCCACACCCACAGGGACACACAUACUCCAACAGGGCCACAACUUCUAAUGGUCCCACUCCUUGGGCCAAGCAUAUACAAACUAUCACACCCACCAUUGAGAAAGAUGGCCAUGAACAAGAAAGAUGAACAUGAAUAAUGCCUAGCAGGCCUCCAGAGAAACAUGCACACAACAGCAUAAUCCCAAUAUUCUCAAACUUCAACCAGCAAUCUCCAGUUUGAUCAUGUCUUAAAAAUAGAACACGUCAAAAUUUUAAAAGUGUCUCUGAAAUGAAAUCCUCAUA
rnacentral:lncRNA from 1 species